UACGGAGGGGGCUAGCGUUGUCGGAAUUACUGGGCGUAAAGGGUGCGUAGGCGGGUCUUUAAGUCAGGGGUGAAAUCCUGGAGCUCAACUCCAGAACUGCCUUUGAUACUGAAGAUCUUGAGUUCGGGAGAGGUGAGUGGAACUGCGAGUGUAGAGGUGAAAUUCGUAGAUAUUCGCAAGAACACCAGUGGCGAAGGCGGCUCACUGGCCCGAUACUGACGCUGAGGCACGAAAGCGUGGGGAGCAAACAGG
rnacentral:rRNA from 1 species